rnacentral:rRNA from 1 species
GAUGAACGCUGGCGGCGUGCCUAAUACAUGCAAGUCGAGCGAACGGACGAGAAGCUUGCUUCUCUGAUGUUAGCGGCGGACGGGUGAGUAACACGUGGAUAGCCUACCUAUAAGACUGGGAUAACUUCAGGAAACCGGAGCUAAUACCGGAUAAUAUUUUGAACCGCAUGGUUCAAAAGUGAAAGACGGUCUUGCUGUCACUUAUAGAUGGAUCCGCGCUGCAUUAGCUAGUUGGUAAGGUAACGGCUUACCAAGGCAACGAUGCAUAGCCGACCUGAGAGGGUGAUCGGCCACACUGGAACUGAGACACGGUCCAGACUCCUACGGGAGGCAGCAGUAGGGAAUCUUCCGCAAUGGGCGAAAGCCUGACGGAGCAACGCCGCGUGAGUGAUGAAGGUCUUCGGAUCGUAAAACUCUGUUAUUAGGGAAGAACAUAUGUGUAAGUAACUGUGCACAUCUUGACGGUACCUAAUCAGAAAGCCACGGCUAACUACGUG